AACGCAUAUUGCGCUCGAGACUUCGGUCGAGAGCAUGUCUGUCUCAGCGUCGGCUCACCCCCUCGCCCCCUUCUCCUUUUCUACGAAAUCGAAGAAGGUUUAAAAGGCGGAUGUGGCCGUCUCAGUUUCUUCUUACGAAGAUAAUUGGGUCGGCUGAAGCACAGGGCCUGCGGCCGGACCCUCAAUCAAUUGGGGCGCCAGCAUGGUAGGUGGCUCUUCGCAGCUGCAUGCCGCUGUCGCUUUCCAGACCGAGACCAGUCGCGCGGCCAAGCAGGAAACGCUCUUUCUAAUCACAGAAAGAACACAUUUCUUCGACCUGAGAUCAGACAAGACUACCCGCUGAACUUAA
rnacentral:misc_RNA from 1 species